rnacentral:ncRNA from 1 species
AAAAAGUGGAGACCAGAAACCACUAUAAAAACGGGGCACCACCGAAAAGCCAAAUGAGUAGGACAAAA